rnacentral:rRNA from 1 species
CCUACGGGAGGCAGCAGUGGGGGAUAUUGGACAAUGGGGGGAACCCUGAUCCAGCGACGCCGCGUGAGUGAAGAAGUAUUUCGGUAUGUAAAGCUCUGUCAGCAGGGAAGAAAGAAAUGACGGUACCUGACCAAGAAGCCCCGGCUAACUACGUGCCAGCAGCCGCGGUAAUACGGAGGGGGCAAGCGUUAUCCGGAAUUACUGGGUGUAAAGGGAGCGUAGACGGUUAAGUAAGUCUGGAGUGAAAGGCCGGGGCCCAACCCCGGGACUGCUCUGGAAACUAUUGAACUUGAGUGCAGGAGAGGUAAGCGGAAUUCCUGGUGUAGCGGUGAAAUGCGUAGAUAUUAGGAGGAACACCAGUGGCGAAGGCGGCUUACUGGACUGUAACUGACGUUGAGGCUCGAAAGCGUGGGGAGCAAACAGGAUUAGAUACCCUGGUAGUC